rnacentral:rRNA from 1 species
UACGAAGGGGGCUAGCGUUGCUCGGAAUCACUGGGCGUAAAGCGCACGUAGGCGGAUUGCUAAGUCAGGGGUGAAAUCCUGGAGCUCAACUCCAGAACUGCCCUUGAUACUGGCGGUCUCGAGUCCGGGAGAGGUGAGUGGAACUGCGAGUGUAGAGGUGAAAUCGUAGAUAUUCGCAAGAACACCAGUGGCGAAGGCGGCUCACUGGCCCGGGUACUGACGCUGAGGUGGCGAAAGCGUGGGGAGCAAACAGGAU